UACGGAGGGAGCUAGCGUUGUUCGGAAUUACUGGGCGUAAAGCGCACGUAGGCGGUUAUUCAAGUCAGAGGUGAAAGCCCAGUGCUCAACACUGGAACUGCCUUUGAAACUAGAUAGCUUGAAUCCAGGAGAGGUGAGUGGAAUUCCGAGUGUAGAGGUGAAAUUCGUAGAUAUUCGGAAGAACACCAGUGGCGAAGGCGGCUCACUGGACUGGUAUUGACGCUGAGGUGCGAAAGCGUGGGGAGCAAACAGG
rnacentral:rRNA from 1 species